rnacentral:rRNA from 1 species
UACAGAGGUCUCAAGCGUUGUUCGGAUUCAUUGGGCGUAAAGGGUGCGUAGGCGGCGCGGAAAGUUGGGUGUGAAAUCCCUCGGCUCAACCGAGGAACUGCGCCCAAAACUGCCGUGCUCGAGGGAGAUAGAGGUGAGCGGAACUUAGGGUGGAGCGGUGAAAUGCGUUGAUAUCCUAAGGAACACCGGUGGCGAAAGCGGCUCACUGGAUCUCUUCUGACGCUGAGGCACGAAAGCUAGGGUAGCGAACGGG